AGACAACACUCAGCCAGAUCCACUUCUGCAAGUGCUCAGAAGCCCCUGCCUGCCCCACAGCUGCAGGAACAACAGCAGAUGAGAAAGAUGGGAGAACAGGUGGGCACCGACUGUGCUGGGAAUGGCUCCUUCUAGUGGUCCUGUGGUUUUGUGCCCGGUGAUGUUAUGACCUCUGCCCUUGACCUUUAAGAGGAAAGCCCCUUUCCGAGAUGAAGACACUGAGGCUUGGAAAGAGUCCAGCCUGGAACUGGGCCACACCUGCGGCAUAUGGAAAUUGCCAGAUUAGGGGUUGAAUUGGAGCAGCUGAUGGCCUAUAUCGCAGCCACAGCAAUACAGGAUUUGAACUGCAUCUGCAACCUACACUACAGCUUGUGGCAACGCUGGAUCCUUAACCCACGGAGCAAGGCCAGGGAUUGAACCUGCACCCUCACGGAUACUAGUCGGGUUCUUAACACACUGAACCUCAACAGGAAUGCCAGUAUUUCAACUUUGAAGUUUAGUGCUUCUCCUGAGAGUCGCAGUGCAGCACCGGUAAUAAUGAUUAAACUGCUGUCUAAUGCUCCACUGGACAUCCAAACCAAACAGGGGAAAAUUCCUUGCUGAAGAUGGGACUCGCAGCAGCAGCCCUUGUACUUGAUGCAGUUUGGUGUUUUAAAAGCCAUUACCCGUCGGUCCUUGCCACAGGACAGUGAAGGGCUGGAGGGCUGGGAGGAAAGAGGGAAUCAGGGGAGGAAACAGCUCGGCAAGGCGAGGCACGCAGCGGCAGAGCGGCAACCCAGGUGCUUUCCAGGCGGCGCUGAGCCCUUAAGUUCUGAUCAGGUCCAUCUGGAGCCAAGCGUUGCCAGUCAGCCAGCAGAGGUGGGUGUAUGGGGAGAGGCUGGGUAAUGAAUCAGGACAAGCCAAUAUCAAAUGCUUAAAGCUCUGUUGCCAGUGUCAGAUGAAAGAGCCCAAGGAAGAUGAAUGAAAAUGAAGUCGAUUUCACCUUCCCUGUCUCCUACAGAGCUCUUUGCUCCAGCCUGCCUCAUACAUGCCUUUGUCUUUUUGCAUAAAGGGCAGGAAGGCAGUCUUGUGCUCCCAUGGGAAUGGAGACAAGAGGCCAAUGCUCCUCAUGGCUUAAUGGGAUGCAAACCCGUCCUGAGCACCCAUUUUUGGUGAUUCUUCUUUUUCUUUCUUUUUUUGGCCGCACCUGUGGCAUGUGAAAGUUGUGGGCCAGGGAUAGAACCUGCGCCACUGCAGCAACCUAAGCUUUGCAGUGACGAUGCCAGAUCCUUAACCCACUGCGCCACAGGAGAACUCUCUUGAUGAUUCUUAAUGAUCCUAAUAAUAAGAACUAGCUAUCUGCGGAGCAAUUACUUUGUGCCUGGCAUUGUGUUAAGGAUUUUACACCUGCAGUCUCAUUUAGUCCAUCACUCCCCAUGGCGUGAGAAACUGGGGCUCAGGGAGAAGAAAUAACUUGCCUAAGGUCCCCUACCAAAACCCCCAUAUCUGACCCCAAGCCUGUUCAUUCAGCCAACCCCUGAAUGAUUAGUGUUGGGUCUAGUCUUGAACUGUAGCCCUCAGAUAUGCUUUGAGCAUCACAGCUGGUCUUGGCUUUCUUGGGGCUGAGAUCUCAAUGUUCAGUUUUAGCCCAAGGUGAUUUGUUCUCUGAGCAGGGGCAGAGGGCUCUGGGAUCACCUUCAUUCACUCGCUCGCAUUUAUUUGAGUGCCUAUAUGUGCCGGGCUUUGCCGGGUACUAGGAUGCCAGGGUCAGCAAAGCUGCUACAGACGCUGCUUUCAUGGAGGCUGCAGUCCAAAAGGGGACAAUGGAAUCUUUAGGUGGCAUUUACUCGGCUCCUCCUCUGGACCAAGCUCUGUGCUGCAUGCUUUUAAAUAAGUCCAUUUGUUUAAUCAUAGUGAUAGGGAAGGAGUAGGAACCUUACACAGGUAGUUGUAGGAGUCCCAGUAGGGGACCACAGCUAGAGAAGGAAACCUAGGGAACUUUGGGAGACCACUGUAAGUUGUUAAUUGCUCAAGAAAAGCCAUCAGAACAUCCAUGGAAUGAAGCAGGCUUGCUUACCUGUAAAACCAUAAAUAAAAGCACAAGAUAUGCCUCAGGUCAUUAAGUGAAAGAUGAAAUGAAGCCUGCAUUCAAGUUCAGCAAGAUAAUGAUCCUUGGGACCAAGGACAGGCAUUUAAGGGACAGAUGACCUUCCAAAGGCGGAGACCCUCAUGAUAGGGAAAGCUGAGAUGAUCCAACAUAUUUUAGCAUAGGUUACCACCCCUUUGCUGAUUUGAAUAACAACCAUGAAGGUCUUAGUUUGACCUCAGAGAGUCAAAUACUCUCUUAUUGGACUUGAAGGAGGAGCUAAUGCUGUAAGCCUGACGUCUACUAGACGAAAGAGGAGGAAGGCGGUAUAUUCCCCUUCCACUUUCCUUGGAUUAUAAAAAUGUAGCCCACCUAAUGUUCGAGGCUGAGCAUCUUUGCCUGCUCACUUGUAUCUCUCACAAGUAUCCUAUCUUAAUAAAUCCUUCUUGCCU
ensembl:lncRNA